ensembl:lncRNA LOC120099033 uncharacterized LOC120099033
GGAUUAGGGACAAGAGGAGAUUGUGGUUCAGAUCAAGUGUUUCAGCAUAAACCUGUGGCAUCUCACCUGGCAUUCUUUCCCCAGGGGCUCUGUCAUUGCAGGGCCUUCCUCCAUGGGCUGGAGGGCUGGAAGGCAAGAUAUUCCCUGGAUCUUAGCAGCAGCAAGACUCUGAGGAAGUUCAGCCCCUGAGGUGUGGUCCUAGUUCAGGGAAGGGGAGAAUCAGCUUCGUGAAGACCUCUACCUUCCUUCCCCUGCUGGUCACUUUCCAGGAACUGUGAUGAAGAAAGACAGAUUUGUGAAGUAGCAAACACAGAUGUCUGUGACCUGGACAUGCCAGUUACCAACAAAAAACAGGAAUAAUCUUUCUAAGUGAACUAAAGGAGAAAAGCAAGUUGCUGGUGAAGCCCCAUAGCAUCCUCUAGAGAACAGAGUCCAUGGAUCGUUUCAGCAGCAGCAGCAGAGACACAGAACCGCUGAGGACUGCCCAGUGUUACUAAGCAGGGAGCUUUGUGUCAUCACAGAGGACCAUGUGAGAGCAUCACAGGAAUGCACUGAACUUGGAGACAGCUAGGAUUAUUCUCAAGAAAAAUCUCUAAAAGUCUCACUUUGAUACCACUGGCAAGGUUGAAACUGUGAAACCCAGUGAAAGCUUUUGAGAGGUGAAGACAAAGUGCAGAUAAACAGCCUAGCUUCUUAAUACCAUCACCCAGGACAUCGGGGUUUCAGCAGAUGAACAUUGGUGGAAACACACUUGAAUCAUCAAAGGAAGUGCUUGUGAGAAUGCUUAGAACAGCGGAAGUCCACUGGAGUGUCUUCUCAUUCCGUUCACUACUCUCAGAGCAAUAAAGAUGCGCAGUACUUGCUAUAGGCGGGCAUUGGUGUGAGUUGGAUCCUUCAAGCUUGGUAUCUUGAAGGUUAACAGACUUGGUUGUGGCCAUGCAACUUGGAAGUAGAAAAGAAGGGACUUGUCCCAGAGUGGUCUGUCUUCACAGGCCACACAUCUGCUCACCGGGGACACUGCUAUUCUAUUUCAUGUUAUCUUUACCUUGCUGAGCGAACAGAAAGUUCAAGGAUGCCAAGGUAACUUCGUGGUGUGGUCAUUACAACUUGCACCUGGGACCAGUGAUGAAAGUCAUUCAUCUUGGCGGCCUUCAGAUGUCCCUUGGCCAACCAGUCAAGGGCAGUGUUUAAUAAAUAACAUGUUGCUGCUGUUUCUGACCGAUGCAGCAUUGUCUGGAUUGUUACUAUGGAGCCAGAGAAGGAACAAGUAACUCACGCUGACUCGAAUCCGGCUGUUCUUAUGAGACAAGGUCCUUCUCACUUUCACCUGUAGCCAGACCUAGAUGGUUAAGAUAGCCUUAGACCCUCAUCCCCCAGAGUAUUAAAAAAUAC